rnacentral:lncRNA from 1 species
GAAGAUGUAGAACUCUCACCUCCUCCAGCAUCAUGCCUGCCUGGAUGCUGCCAUGCUUCCUGCCUUGAUGAUACUGGACUGAACCUCAGAAUCUAAGCCCUUUUCCAGCUGACAGAAAGAAAGGCAGACCCCAUCCCUGCUGGAUCUCACACCCUGCACUACUAUGCAAUGCAGAAACCUCUGGAAACAAAGGCACUUCAAACACUGCUGUUGAGAAAGUGUCUGACUGGCCACAUACCGUUUCUAAGACAAAUGAUUUCCAAUCUGUUGCUUUAUUCUAGCUUUGUAUAUUUCAGCAAAACCAGACUCCUUCCAAAAUCUUAGAAACACAUAUUUUUAAGAAGAAGAAGAAGAAGAAGAAGAAGAAGAAGAAGAAGAAGAAGAAGAAGAAGAAGAAGAAGAAGAAGAAGAAGAAGAAGCAUAGAUUCAAGUUAACUGAAAUAUAAUUAUUUCCCAUUGAGACCCAAGUGGAGAUGUGCGGGACUGAGUGGUGCUUACAGAAGAAAUCCCAGUUUCUUCCACUAGCACUGCAACAAAAUAUCAAAAUUGUGGCUGGCUCAACUCAGCUGUUCUGGCUCAAACUCCUCUCCAAGCUGACUGAUUCAAUUUGGCUUCUCUCAGCUUUUGACUGGAUUGUUCUGCUUGGAAAGACUGCCUUUCAACUCCACAAACUCCACUGAACUAAACAGCUCUGAACCAAACUGAGCAAAACUGAAUUGAACUGAACAGAACUGAACUGAACUGAACUGAACUGAACUGAACUGAACUGAACUGAACUGAACUGAACUCUCUCUCCCUCACUACUCUUUAAGUAGCCUCUCUUUCCUCUCUGUUGGCUGGCUAUCUGUUUCCUCAUGAGUUGGGCUUAUCCUAUCUCUAACACAUUCUGUCAAAUCUUUCUCUGAUUUAUCACUUUGUCUACCCCUCAAUUAGACAUCACUUAUUGUUUAGAACUAAUGGUGUGUACUAAAGGCAUAUCUGCAUUCCAGUCCAAGGGAUUAAGGAUGUGUCCAAAAUGUUAUGUAAUCCCUUGCCAGAACAUCCAUGUUGCUGGAUUAAAAUUCCUCUACAUCUUCCUCCUUUCUGUUUAACCUAAAAAUUAUAUACAGUUUAACUAUUACAAUGGGCUUUUAACUAAAAGUGCUCCAAACAGAGAGGGAAGGCAAGUAAGCCUAAACAGACAAACGACUACUAAUGUUCCAUGAUGUUUAACAACCAACUAUCAAGACUUGGCAAACCUAACUGGAAGGUGGUCAUGCAUGACUUUAAUCCCAGUACUGUAGAGGCAGAGGCCAGAGGAUCUCUGUGAGUUCAAGAUUAGCCUGCUCUACAGAGCUAGUUCUAGGAGAGCCAAAGCUAUACAAAGAAACCUUGUCUCAGGGGGAACAAAAAGAUAAAUUUUUCUGUAGCAUCUUCUGGCUUCCAUGAUAUUAAUUUUCCUACAAUGGGCUUCUCUCAUCUGAUAUCAGCCUACUCACAAGCUUCUGUAUGGGCAGGCUCUGGUGCACCUCUACAUGACAACCACAGCCCUUCCUCCAAGGUACUAUGACAUGAAGGUUUUGCCAUAAGGGAAAAGUCAAACUCCCCUGGACUUUGAUAUAUUAUACCUUUCUCUUUUGUAUUACUGUAUAUUAUUGUGUUCUUAUUUCAUAUAUUUCUGAACUCAAACUUUGUUUUAAGCUUCAUUAUCCUCAAUGUACUGUGCUUCAAAGCAUGUAACUUCAAUUUUCAUAAAAAUCUAUUUCUUAC